UGACGCAGUAUAAGAACCCCGGCGUACUUCCGCUAACGUUUGGAAUAGACGCUGAGGCGGGUUAAGUAUGUCAGGUAACAUGGCUGAAAACGCCGCGGGCCUUGAUGUUGGAAAUGCUGUAGACUCUGCAGAAAAGGAACACGCAGGUACGAGUGAAGUUUGGAGGCCGAAGUUUGAGUGGCGCUCCAGGCCCUGUCUCUCUGUAGCCGCUGUCCACCCUUUACCGAGGAGUGGGAGCUCUGACAUGAGUACAUCAGCCAGCCUGUCAGACUCGCCCGCUGUCUCCUGCUCCAACGUCUUUAUCGUCACCUAGAAGAAGCCCAGACGACAUUUCCUCCCCCUCCCCCUCCCCACAGCUCAGGUCAAGGCACAUGUCCAGGAGGAACUGCACUCGGUUCUCUCCCUUCUCCUUUGAUUUGCGUGACUCCAUGCGAAGAGUUGCACGUGAGCGGAAGCUGGAGAAGCUGAGGCUGAUGGAGGAAAGUCGUCUUGCAGUGGCAGUCACGUUUAGAGCCAACCCAGUGAGGAAGUACAAACCACUGGUACCGAAGCAGAGCACACGUCAACUCACAGUCCCCCGAUCGCCCUUCUCCAGUGGUGACCCAUGAAAGUAGAUGAAAAAAUGUCUUUUAGAUGUAUAUAUCUUUAAUAAAUCUAAUUUUACAAUGUUUUGUAUAAUAAAACUAUCCAAGGGAAUGUUUACCAA